GGCAAGUCGAGCGGGCGUAGCAAUACGUCAGCGGCAGACGGGAGAGUAACACGUGGGAACGCGCCCUUCGGUUCGGAAUAACUCAGGGAAACUUGAGCUAAUACCGGAUACGCCCUAACGGGGAAAGAUUUAUCGCCGAAGGAACGGCCCGCGUCGGAUUAGCUAGUUGGUGAGGUAAUGGCUCACCAAGGCGACGAUCCGUAGCUGGUCUGAGAGGAUGACCAGCCUCACUGGGACUGAGACACGGCCCAGACUCCUACGGGAGGCAGCAGUGGGGAAUAUUGGACAAUGGGCGCAAGCCUGAUCCAGCCAUGCCGCGUGGAUGAUGAAGGCCUUAGGGUUGUAAAGUCCUUUUAACGGGGAAGAUAAUGACGGUACCCGUAGAUAAGCCCCGGCUAA
rnacentral:rRNA from 1 species